GCGAGUGUGGCGGAAUGGUAGACGCGCUUGACUUAGGAUCAAGUGCCUUUGGCGUGGGGGUUCAAGUCCCUCCACUCGCA
rnacentral:tRNA from 1 species